AUACGUAGGUGGCGAGCGUUGUCCGGAUUUACUGGGUGUAAAGGGUGCGUAGGCGGGAUUGCAAGUCAGGCGUGAAAUGCAUCGGCUUAACCGAUGAAUUGCGCUUGAAACUGCAGUUCUUGAGUGAAGUAGAGGCAGGCGGAAUUCCGAGUGUAGCGGUGAAAUGCGUAGAUAUUCGGAGGAACACCAGUGGCGAAGACGGCCUGCUGGGCUUUUACUGACGCUGAGGCACGAAAGCAUGGGUAGCAAACAGGAUUAGAUACCCUGGUAGUCCAUGCCGUAAACGAUGAUUACCAGGUGUGGGGGGUCUGACCCCCUCCGUGCCGUAGUUAACACAAUAAGUAAUCCACCUGGGGAGUACGACCGCAAGGUUAAA
rnacentral:rRNA from 1 species